UACUAAUUUUAAUUUUUUUUACUGUAGUUUUUCUAUUUUUGAGAAAUUUGUACUUGUCUGCACUUCCUCUUACCUUCACCUAUCCCUUUUUCACAUAAACUGAUAUACUCGCAACUUCUCUCACACCUCUAAAACUCGUCUAAAGCUUAUUCAUCAUGAAUAUGAUCAAGGGCUGGAAGAUUUGGGGUCUUUUCCCAUGCUUCUGGAGUGGAGAAACCUCUUUAUAACUGCUUAGAUUCACUAAAGAAGUCUUAUGGACAUAUGAAGGACAUGAAAUGUCGAUUCGAGUUCAAGAGGCUAGUAGAUCAAGGCGGUGCAUGUUUUCUAGUAAGUUUCCGAGCAAUGGUCAGCUCUGAUUUUUCAUGCAAUUAAAACUUAAUACGGAGAGACAAAAUAGUCAAAUGUGAACAGCAGUCAGAGAUAUGUGAGAGACAAUUAAAUUGGGCCUUCUGAGAGAUAUGCGUGUAAUUUUAAGUACAUCAUUUCUUAAUGUAGAGCUGAUGAUGUAUAUGUAAAUUUUAAUUAAAUUGAGCCUUAAAUGGUUUAGUGGCCGGGAUUGAUAAUCUUUGUAUUUAUCAUAAAAGUGAAUUAAUAUUUUUGGUGUUUCACA